UAGUCAUAUAGAGCCUUGAGGUGUAUGUUGGCUAUAAUAUGUUUAUUGUAAGAAUUGAGUUAUAUCAAGAGGGGAUCUAUCAACCUCGAUAGAGGAGUAGUCCUAUGAAGAUCAUAAGAUUAGUCCUAAAGCCCAUGACCAUGGUAAUGUAAAAGAUAGAAAAAUAUUUCUAUUGGAUUUCACAUCAAAUUCCAAUCAAAUGAUUCUAUCAUAUGAUGUGAUAAGGUUUGACGAGUUUACCCUGACCUCAGUCCUAUCAAAACUCACGAUAGA
rnacentral:lncRNA from 1 species